rnacentral:snRNA from 1 species
AUUGCUUCUUGACCUUUUGUCUGAGAUCAAAUGUAGCACCUGCUCUUAUCAGUUUAAUACCUGAUAUGUCCUCUAUCUCAAGAGUCAGGAUCUUUUAAGGAUCUUUCUGGGAGGCCUCAUCCAGUAUCUCAGAUAUCAUGAGCUAAAACUUUGCCACAUGAAUAUUGGUAACUGCA